rfam:Schistosoma rodhaini strain Burundi genome assembly, scaffold: SROB_scaffold0016188
AUCCAUCUGACGAGUCCCAAAUAGAACGAAACGCGAGUCAAACUGGAU